AAACCUAAUCGACUGUCGACCGAUCGACAUCCUCAAAAUCAAAACAUUCAAUUAGGAAUUCCAAACUUCUUCCUCUUUAUUUUUCUCUUCUUAAAAACACCCAUUUCCAUCAAUCUUAGUUGCGUUUGAAUCCAAAUCAGAGACCUACAAUCGCCCAUGACUCCUUUUCGUGAUUUUUUGGCUGAAUCACGUAAUUCGUUUUCUGCAAAUGGUUGCUGAGUUUUUGGAUCUGGUUAUCAAGUGGUAAUAUGUAUUAUACAGUUAAUUGAUUGGUUUUGAAUUACGUUUGCAGGUUGCUUCAUUUUCAUGGAAUUUAGUUACCUAAUUACCUAAUAUGUAUUGAUUGUGUCGUUGCUCGAUGGGUCUGUGGCGGUUGUUCUCUUCAUCAAAGCUAUGUCGUCGGUCAGUUUACCUAAACCCUAAUUUUUCAAUUUCAUGUUCUAAUCUAUGUGACCCCAUAUCGUAAAUAAAUCGAAAUUUGUAUCCAAGUUCUCUAAUUGGUGUUCUGAUGUUUGAAAUUUCAUCCAUUUAUAUCCAACUUUGAGUCGAGCAUCUAUGGGGAAGAUAGAAGUUUGGAAGCCAUGAAUCAAGGGAUUGGUGUUAAUCUUGAUCUCAACUUCUGUUUUUUCUGCUGAUGAUAGUUGAAAGGGGAACGACAAUGUUCAAAAUUGCUUUAGAAGCUUGGCAUGAUCUGAUCGUUGAUUCAAAGAGGAGUAGAACUAUGGUCUUUAAAACGCCUCACUACAUCGAAACUACAUGUUCUCUGGAAUUACCUUGCUGGCCACAAAACCAGUUCUCUAGCUUUUAUUAG